CUUUAUUAUACUACACUGUACUUAAGAAACUCCCCUUUCUUACUUAAGAAACCCUUGCAGACAGUCUGAUACAGACAGACCAGAUUAGUCCUUGAUUCCAAAGCACCAUCACCAUUGGCCAAUUAAGAAAUCACCCUUUGGUAAACAAAUCUCCGUAACACAUUCCACAUGUUCACAACAGGUGCAGCAAGUGAAGGUAAGAAUUGCUCAUCAUUCUUUUCUCUGAUCUUCUCACAGCCUUCCCCAGGACAAUGCCUGGGAAAGUUGUGUUCCUCUCUGUAGCCAGAGAGCUGCAGCCACAUCUCCACACCUGUUCAAAUGACAGAUGAAAAUCAAAUUGAUACCGUGCCUCUGGUUGUACAUACUCUGGUCUUCAGAUUCUUCAGCUUACUUUUAGAGAAAGUACAUCUAGAUUUUCCUGUUCUUAGCCCAAGUGAAGGGAGCUGGAAUGGGUAUAAGUCUCUACGUCUGGUGUGGUGCUUUUUAGACUGUACUCAUCCAUCAGCGUAACAACAGGCACAUCUAAGAGCUUACCAGUUUUUUCUUUUUUACUAUGAGCUGUUUUGUUGCCAGCUUAAAGAGCAAGCGUCUAAAAACUAGAUCUUUUAUUACAAACAUCAUGAGCUUGAAGUAGCACAAGUGGUUUACUUUUAAAUUUUUUUCAUUUCCUCAAAUCUGCCAUCUCUUGACACCUUCACUCCCUUGUUUAAAAGCUUUUCUAAUCCAGAAUGGCACAAGAAACAGAAAACUGUAAAGUGCAUACAUUGAUGUCUGACUGGGUAAUUUGGCAAUAUUCUUACAAUAACUGUUUUUCCAAACCCACUAGUACACUUUCUCAGUGUUCCAGUUAGUAUAUAAAAAAUAAUGCUUAAACUGUACAACUUCUAUAAAAACCUAGAGCAGGCAAUACAUUCCUUGGCACAACCACACAUUUCAAAAAUGGGAUUUUUAUCACAGUAUUUCAUUUCCAGUCAGUCGAGGUCUGCAUUCAUAGAUCAUUUUGCACACACAUUACUCAGCCCCUGCUGCUUCUAUCUCUAGUGUGGUAAAUAUUUUUUACCUUGUGCAAAGGAUAUAUGGGCAACACAGCCAAGAUGAAUUCUUGCAUUAGUCUUGCAGCCCAGAUGACAGUGACAUACAGCAAGAUAUUAGACCACUGUGGUAUCAGAAAUGUACAGUAAGCCUGAGUAAAGGAUGUAGCCUAGAGUUUUAUAGCCUUAAGACCCAGGAAAACAAAGAUAAAAGGUACACUUCCACUGUAGCAUACUGCCAAGUUUAGCCAUUCAGAAUAAUACACCACGUCAAUUAAAUUUAACCUAUGAAUUCAUCAUCUUCCUGGGGCCAGCCCAGGUGCCCGAGAUGACAGCUUGUUCUAUUUCAUGCAGUGCAAUAGAGAUCAAUAAGGAGGUGCUAUGGGGUAGUAGAUGGUGCCCAUGUGUCUAGCUGAGAAAAAAAAUGUAACUUAGAGUUAUUAAACUGUUUUACUGCUUCUUAAUGCAUAUCAGUAUUCUAUUACAUAAUCCAGUAGUAAAGCAGUAGAGAAGUUUGGUUCUUGAAAGUGUUAAAAGGCUGCUGUGAUUUUCUAAGGGGCAGCAGGAUGUUGCUCCCAGCAAGUUCCCAGUUCUGGGAGCAGGCUGCUGUCUGUUUUGUGGGCACACCAGAGGCAGCUGCAGAGCAGUGCAUAAUCAGUCUGUCAUGACCAAAGAAUACUUUGUUUUUCUACACUGAUGGGAAAUCUUCAUUUCUCUUUACAGGCAUAUUUAAAAGAGAGUUCAGGUUAAGCCAUUCUUUCUACAGCCCAGCAAUGCUGCACGUACAGCAUUUAUGCUUCCAGCCUGAUCAGCAUUCAAAGCCACAUCGGUUUAGCUAACAGUACUAACAUUUUUAAACAGCUAAUGAAUUCUGAGCAUGGCCAGCACUACUUUAAUUCAAAUUUGCCUUAUAGUGAGUUCUCUCAGCUCAGCUAAGAAGGCAGUUUAAUGUGCAAUUAAGGCUCUCUCUGCUAUGUAAGCUGUUUCUACCAUAUCAAAAAUCGUAAAUUAGAAUAAUUAACACAUUGGAGAGUCAGUGUAAGGUGAUGAAGAAGAGGCAAGUUUAUGCAAAAUACAGACUGUAUCCAAGUUUCAGUCACCUUGAAGACCAUGGAAACACCAAACAUCUCAUUUAAUAUUUUAUUAGUCGAUUUCUUAAAAUGACACAGAAGGACCAUAGAGCUUUAGCAGACUGACUACUGAAAUCCCUUCAUACAUGACUUGUACUAUCCUGUUCUUAUUUGUAAAUUUAUAUGAGAUGUCAUAAACACAUAGAUAAAUAACACAGAAACAGUCUUAUGAUAGUAAGUAAUCCACACAAAUUCUAUCAGAGCAAUAAACUCUCUCAGAAUUUUAUCCUCAGGGCUCCAGAAAACCUCAGCCAGGGAGGAAUUCAAUAACUCCAUCACCCAAGAACCAGAAAGCAGUGUGGUAACUGGGUUUGGAAGUAAUGCUAGUGAAACUCUACAGAUGCAGCUUCUCAAACUGUAUUAAUUUGAUGAGAAUAGAACACAGAAUCAUUUCAGGCUUAUUUUUUGACAUCUUUCAAAGUUAGAAUACUUCCAAAUUAUUAUGCUCAAAACCCUAGCAACUGCCUCAAUUUUAUAAUGUAGUAUCUUUGUGAGUAGAAUCCUGUAAGACAAAAAUUUAUUAGCACAUGGCAGUAUUAUUUAAUCUAACUUGGUCUGCAGGCUCAAAACACUUAAUCUAAAUUCCUAUGGAAUUAACCAUGUUUAGUGUUACUGUGACUGAAUUUUAAUAACCUGAAAUUAAAGCUGGGCCAGUUGGAGGAGGGAGACAUAAAAAAUGAGCUACUCAUUUUUUGCUUUCAAACACUUGCAAGUUCUUAAUUUUUAACAAGUGAGAGAACUCCAGGCAUGGCAGAUAUCACCAUUUGGCACAUAUUCUAUAAAAUAAGAUGAAGCUAAAAAAAUGAAUACUUUUCUUUCUUCCAAAUAACUUUCAAUUAUAAUAUGAAAAAAAAUUUUUAAGACCAAACAGAUUGAGGCAUGAAGAAACAACACUGCUCUAUGAAAGCUUAGUGGUUUAAUGCCAAGUGUCCCACAUUUUUUCCCAGCAGAAAUAUUUUGAGGCAUUUGAUGGUGUGAUGGGCUUGUGUGGAAGUGGGGACAUGGAAAAAUUUCAAAUAAGUGGCUCACAGUAACACACUGGGAAGAUGAACUGGAGGGAAAGGCUGAACAGAGGGAAGGAUCUCUUAAAAGAGAAGGAGACAUGGUAGAAGGGUCACACUGAGAGCUUGGGUCAGUCUUCAGUGGAAGAGAGGGAAGAAGUCAAGGAAGAGCUGAAUCCAGAGCAGGAUGAGCUCAAAGAAACUGUCUCUAAAGUUGUCUUAGCAACUGCCCAGGGUAACUCACAUAUGCCAGAAGACUCUUCCAUUUCAGAAUUUAGACCACAAUUACCAUUGCACUUAGGUUGACUGGGACUAACAGACUUUGUAAAUCAGGACCGAGGGGGAUACAACUGUGCUGCCUACUGUCAUUUCUGCUGCAAAGGCUCUGACCACAUCUGGGGGGAAAAACACAUCUUGACAAAAAAUUAUGUUUUUGGCAUGUGAUACUAACAGUAAAGUGUCACAAGUUGUCAAGGGUGUGUUGCCAUUCUAAGAGGCAGAAUCAAACAAAACAUUGUAACUUAGAGAAGCUGCAUAACUUCAGGCAUUUAUCUUUGACAGGAAUGGCCUGUGGGAAGCAUAUCUCUCUUAUUUAUAUAGAAAAAUUCACGCUUCUAAACCAAGAGGGUCUACAUCUCCACAUCAACUCAGGCUGUCAAACAUAGCCACAAUAAAAAGCACCAUCCUAUUUGGAUUUCUUAUUGAUCCCUGUUGUACUGUGAAUGGCAUUAUUUUCUUCCUUGACCUCAGUUCAGGGAACAAUUUAGAAGCUUUUCAAAAUCUGCUUUUCUAUUAUUCAGAAACAGAUUUGAAUUUAUUGAACAAGAACGCUUUUUACAAAUGCUUUUUUUUUUUUCUGGAUUAUUUUUUUCUUUCCAUCCUGCUUUUCUGUUCUCUCCCUCCUGUCCCAAGGUGGAUGUGAACCUCAGGCUGCCUGAGCAGCUUUUAAACAUUAAACAAAACACAUCGGGUUGCCAUGUCUGUCUCAGCAGAAAGUCAAUAUUCACUCCAGGAGCAAUCAAGCACCCAAGCACAGAGGCUAUAGCAAAAGGCUGUAAAAAAUGUAGUAACAAUGCCCGAAAGUGCUUUGAGUAAAGGCUUUCUUGUAAACCUGCAGUUGAAACCAACUUUAUGUAAGUAAUUACAAAGGGUUUGAUCAAUUUGAGCUGAAUUUUGAUAUUACAAACCCAAUAUGUGGCCAAGUGUAAUUUUGAGCCACGCCAAUGCAUGAGGACCUUCUACCAGUUUACUGAAAUUCUAGCAAUAAAGUUUUUGUAUAAAUUUUGCAAUUUUAUACCUUUGUGUUAUGGUAUUUUAUACCUAUGUGUUAAGCACAGAAGUUUAGCUAACAUGCAUUUCAGGAUCUUUAUUGCUUCUAUAAAUGCAAAUAGUGAGAAAAAUAUUGAUUAUCUAGCAGUACAGCUUUGAAAAUCUUUACCUAAUAAAUAAACAAACUUAUUUCACAUAUGUCACUGGUCACACACUGGAUGACAAAUGC
rnacentral:lncRNA from 1 species